GUGUCAGCAGCCGCGGUAAUACGUAGGUGGCAAGCGUUGUCCGGAUUUACUGGGCGUAAAGGGUGCGUAGGCGGACCUUUAAGUGAGAUGUGAAAUCCCCGAGCUUAACUUGGGGGCUGCAUUUCAAACUGGAGGUCUAGAGUGCAGGAGAGGAGAGUGGAAUUCCUAGUGUAGCGGUGAAAUGCGUAGAGAUUAGGAAGAACACCAGUGGCGAAGGCGACUCUCUGGACUGUAACUGACGCUGAGGCACGAAAGCGUGGGGAGCAAACAGGAUUAGAAACCCCUGUAGUCC
rnacentral:rRNA from 1 species